GAUUCUGAAACUGAUGGUAAUGGCUUAUUUACAGGAGUGGUGGAGAAGAAGACCUUGAUUGAUUUCAAACUCUGAACGUGUUGAGGGGUGGGAGGAUGUCUUGUGAGUGACUGAGGGCCUGAUGUUCUGUCCCUCACUAUACACCCCCAAGACCACAGCUCAUACUUCAUCAUGAACUGCCUGCUGAACACCUGAAGUUUCAAUACCAGCGAUGACCAACAGUUCUGUAAUGUCUCUUCAUCUGUCAUUCAAUACUGUUUGGUGGGCAGUGCAGAAGUCCCGCCUCACAGCUACCCGCAAUGUUUACUUCUCAGCUUCUCAACAUCUCGGGGUGUGAAUUUGCCAACACACCCGCAAACAUGCUGACCAAUCACGGCAGACUGGGCUACUCGGGAGGAGAGCCGCACUGACAGGACAAAGUCAACAGGAGAGCCAUUUUUACCGCAAAGUAUCACAACCUAUCAAUCCAGUCAUACACAAGUUUGCCUGCUUAUUAAUGUGUCAUCCCUGAAGCAGUGUUUCCCACAGAAUGUUGUGAAACUGUGGAGGGAACCCAGUCCUUAGGGGGGUCCGGGGGCAUGCUCCCCCGGAAGAACAUUCGGUACCUUUUAACCUAGAAUGCAUCAAUCUGGUGCACUUUCAGGAAAAUUAAGACUAGUGUGACUGCGCUAUUUUCUGGAAUAAUGUGGAGACACUGGAUCACAUAACAUGGAAGCCAUUAAAGAAUAAGUUAUUACUUUUUAUUAAAAUGAUUUGUAAAAAAUAUCAAUGAAUACGAGUGUGUUCAUAGGAUACCCCCCUUCAAUAAUAAUUUUUUUACCAUUAAAUGUAAAAUGCAUCAAUUUGGUGCACUUUGAGAGG
ensembl:lncRNA